rnacentral:rRNA from 1 species
CGAACGGGUGAGUAAUACAUCGGAACGUGUCCAGUAGCGGGGGAUAACCUCUCGAAAGAGAGGCUAAUACCGCAUACGACCUACGGGUGAAAGAGGGGGAUCGCAAGACCUCUCACUAUUGGAGCGGCCGAUGUCGGAUUAGCUAGUUGGUGGGGUAAAAGCCUACCAAGGCUACGAUCCGUAGCUGGUCUGAGAGGACGACCAGCCACACUGGGACUGAGACACGGCCCAG